rnacentral:rRNA from 1 species
CAGUAGCCGCGGGAAUACGAGGGGGGCAAGCGUUGUUCGGAAUUAUUGGGCGUAAAGGGUGCGUAGGCGGUUCAGCAAGUCUCGUGUGAAAUCUUCGGGCUCAACCCGAAGUCUGCACGGGAAACUACUGGGCUUGAGUAAUGGAGAGGUGAGUGGAACUGCGAGUGUAGAGGUGAAAUUCGUAGAUAUUCGCGAGAACACCAGUGGCGAAGGCGGCUCACUGGUCCGGUACUGACGCUGAGGUGCGAAAGCGUGGGGAGCAAACAGGAUUAGAUACCCCGGUAGUCCCUGUCUCUUAUAC